rnacentral:rRNA from 1 species
UACAGGGGGUGCAAACGUUGCUCGGAAUCAUUGGGCGUAAAGCGCACGUAGGCGGAUUGUUAAGUCAGGGGUGAAAUCCUGGAGCUCAACUCCAGAACUGCCUUUGAUACUGGCGAUCUCGAGUCCGGGAGAGGUGAGUGGAACUGCGAGUGUAGAGGUGAAAUUCGUAGAUAUUCGCAAGAACACCAGUGGCGAAGGCGGCUCACUGGCCCGGUACUGACGCUGAGGUGCGAAAGCGUGGGGAGCAAACAGGGAUUAAGAAACCCCGG